rnacentral:misc_RNA from 1 species
GAUGAAGAACUUAGCGAAAUGCGAUAACUAAUGUGAAUUGCAGAAUUCAGUGAAUCAUCGAGUCUUUGAACGCACAUUGCGCCCUCUGGUAUUCCGGAGGGCAUGCCUGUCCGAGCGUCAUUGCUGCCCUCCAGCCCGGCUGGUGUGUUGGGCCCCGUCCCCCUUCCCGGGGGGACGGGCCCGAAAGGCAGCGGCGGCACCGCGUCCGGUCCUCGAGCGUAUGGGGCUUUGUCACCCGCUCUUGUAGGCCCGGCCGGCGCCAGCCGACCCCCUCAAUCUAUUUUUCAGGUUGACCUCGGAUCAGGUAGGGAUACCCGCUGAACUUAAGCAUAUCAAUAAGCGGAGGA